ensembl:lincRNA
GUUUUUUGUGGUACUGGGAUGGAACCCAGGGCCUUCACACUGAGCUAUAUCCUCAACCCUUUUGAUUUUUUAUUUUGAGACAAGGACUCUGUAAAUUGCUAAAUUGCUCAGGCUGGGCUCAAAUUUGCAAUCCUCCUGCCUCAGCCUCCCAAAUAGCUUGGAUGACAGGUGUGCAGCACAUGCCCAGAGUGUUUUGGUUUGGUUUUGUUUGUUGAGAAGCCCAGGCUUGUGGUGAAAACUGCUACUACGAAACCAACCACUGUGUAAGUGUUUUCAUUGGGCCGGAACCCUUAGGAACCACCAACUCGUCCAUUUGAGAGAUGGAGAAACUGAGGCACUGGAAAGUUAAUUGACUUGGCUAAAAUCACACAGCAGGAGGGAGCAGAGCCAGGAUGUAAGGCCCCGUGCUUGGGCCUUGAUCACGCAGCAAAACGUGAUGGCCCCUUGUGGUGGAGUCAUCAGCUGGAGAGGCCAGGAGCCAAGAUAAUGGGGUCUGGGCCAAGGCGCUGGGACUUUCCUUGGAAGGUAAUAGGGAGCCAUGGAAGGUGUUAGAAGAUGGGUUCUUGGUUACUUCUGUGCUUUGAACUUCUUGGCCCAGAUUACUCUUUGGGGCGGGCAUCCCGGGCACUGCAGCGUGCACUGAUGUCCCUGGCCUCCACCUGCGCCAGCUCCAGGAGCUCCAGGAGUUGUAACAGCCACAGGUGUCCCCAGACAUCAUCGAAAGACUCAUGGGGGUCAGAGUCACCUGCCCUGACUUACCAUCAGAGAUGCUGGGCCAAAGCGUCUCUGGAUCCCAUGUGCAGGGGAAGAGUGGACAGGUGUGGGCCGGGACUUAAGAAGGAGCAGCUUUUAGGGGGCGAGCGCAGUGCUGGAGAAGAGAGGAGCAGGAGGCUCCGGCUCGUGAGGGGACCUGGGGCGCCAGGACAUUCCACUGCCCUGUCCCGGGCCCUCACCCCAGCGGCGCAGGGCAGAGCGGGCACUGGGGUCCUGAAGGGUGAGGCUGUGCGCCGCCGUGAAGCAGAGGCUCAGAGGGGACGGGUGACGCGGGCCGCGGGGGCCCCCUCUGCUGGGACUCCCACCACCAGGCCCGGUGGAUGCGGGGCCAUGGCCGCCCUGCUCUGGGUAGGAGCCCCUGGUCAGCUGCCGCCUGGCCAGGACACCUGGGGGGACUCGAGUUUAUUCCUCGCACCGUAGUAGCCUAACCCCAUGAGGACCCCCAGAUGUGUGCUGAGCACCUACUGUGUGCGAGGUACGUUCUAAGUGGACAAUUAGAGCAGGGACCAAAGGGAAAAAACCCCUCCCCCGAGGGCUGACAACCUCUAAAUGUGAAUUGGGGCCUCCCGCCUCUGCCCUCAGGCCUCGCGGCUUCCACAGCCCGGUCCUCCUGCAGCCCACAGAGCUCUGCAUGGCCACCCGUCCCCUCACUGCCUGCGCUGCACCUGCUCCCAGCCUCUUCCCUUGGCUCCAGCCACAUGGGCUUCUCAUUACCCCUGCACUGCAGAGACUCCAUCCUGCCCCAGGGCCUUUGCACAGAGCCACGCAUUCUAUUUCAAUUGUUCUAUAUCAUAUCACCGAUUGGCCAAUUUCAUCUCCUUCCAGUGUUGAUUUAAAUGUCACCUUCUCCAUGGGGUCUCCUUCGAUUUCCUGGUGCAAUUCUACCAAGGCCAGGACCAGGGUCAACAUGCUUUUGAGUAAGUUUCUUUCUUUAGGCAUAAAACUUAGAGUAUAUGGGCAUACGCUAACAGUUUAUAGUCUGCUAGUGUAUGAUUAUAUUACAGAGUUACAUCAGAACUACACAUGUGGGGCUGGGGGUAUAGCUCAGCAGCAGAAGUGCCUGCCUGGCAAGCACAAGGUCAGAGUUCGAUUCCCAGUACCAAAAAAAAAAAAAAAAAAAAAAGCAAAAAAAAACACCUUAGAGUAUAGCCAGGCAUGGUGGCUGAAGCAGGAGGGUUGCAAGUUUGAACCCAGGCUGGGCAGUUUAACAACUUGGUGAGACCUAAAUUAAAAACAAAUUGGUGUCUUGGUGUCUCUAAAUUAAAAACAAAUAUUUUUUUGCCUUUUUUUGGAGACAGGGUCUCACUAUGGAGUUCAGGCUGGCCUUGAGCUCACUUUGUAGCCCAGGCUGGUCUCAAACUCGCAAUAAUCCUCCUGCCUCAGCCUCCCAAGUGCUGGGAUUACAGGCCUGCAGUACCACACCUGGCUAAAUACAAAAUUUUAAAAUGGCUCAGGAUGUAGCUAGAGCUGACUCCUCUGGGUUCUAUCCUGAGUACCGUAAAAAUAAGUAAGUAAAAUAAAAAUUAGAUACACCAGUAAUCUUAGUUAUCCAGAUAAACAUUUUAUUUUAUUUCAUUUCAUUUUAC